UAUAAGUGGGAGCAAAAAGGAGAAAGUGAAAUAACACUACUUUUAAUGUUAUUUUACUUAUUUCGUAAAUCAAAAGUGGGGCACUGCCCCUCUUUUUGAACCCAAGGCUCGUACUGCGAACUGAUUCAGGCAGAAGACAUUGUCAGGUGGGGAGUUUGGCUGGGGUGGCACAUCUGUUAAAAGAUAAUACAGGUGAAUGAAGACGAGCUCAACAAGAACAAAAUUCUCUUGUGGAAUAGAAUGGUAAAAGCUCAUUUAAUUCUGAUUUCCAGUACGAAUAUGAACCAUGAAAGCAUGGCCUAACGAUCCUUUAGACCUUUGAAAUUUGAUGCUAGAGGUGUUAGAAAAGCAUGGCCUAAUGAUCCUUUAGUAUUUUCCAAGGAUGUUUUCAUUAAUCAAGAAUGAAAUUUGGGGGCUCGAAGAAAAUCAGAUACCAUCCUAGUCUCAACCAUAAACAUUGUUGACCAGGGAGCGACGGAUUUUGCUUUUAGGACUCCGCUGAUACCUUGUAAGAAAUAAAAGCUCUUGGGUUCCGGGGGAAGUAUGGCCACAAGGAAGAAACUUAAAGGAAUUGAUGGAAGGGCACCACUAGGAGUGGAGCCUAUAGCUUAAUUUGACUCAUCCUGGGGAAACUUACCAGGUCUAAACAUACUAAGGAUUGACAGACUGAGAGCUCUUUCUUGAUUCUAUGGGUGGUGGUGCAUGGUCGGUCUUAGUUGGAGAAGCAAUUUAUCAGGUUAAUUCCAUUAACGAAUCACACCUCAGCCUGCUAACUAUCAAUGCAGAGCUAUCUCUUUGCAGCCAGCAUCUUAGAGGGACUACGGCCUUUUAGGCCAUGGAAGUUUGACGUGAUAAAAGGUCUGUGAUUCUCUUAGAUGUUAUGGGCCACACGCGUCCUACUUUGAUGUAUUAUUGAUUUUAUAGCCUUGGUUGAUAGGCUCGAAUAAUCUUUGAAAUUUCAUCAUGAUGGGAUACAUUGUUGGUCUUCAAUAAGGAAUUCCUAGUAAGCGUGACUCAUUAUCUCGCGUUGAAUACGUCCCUGACCUUUGCAUACACCACCUGGUGCUCCUACCAAUUGAAUGAUACAGUGAAAUAUUUGGACCACGGUGACGUUAGCGGUUCGCUGACCACGACGUCGCAAGAAGUCAAUUGCACCUUAUCAUUUAGAGAAAAGAGAAGUCGUAAAAAAGUUUUUGUAGGUGAACCUAUGGAAGGAUUAUUG
rnacentral:ncRNA from 1 species